rnacentral:rRNA from 1 species
CGUCGUCAGCUUACCCUGUGAAGGAACAACAGUAAACAAAAUGGGCACACCCCAAAACGUCAGGUCGAGGUGUAGCGCACGAAGUGGGAAGAAAUGGGCUACAUUUUCUAAAUAUAGAAUAUCACGAACGGCMCCAUGAAAAAGGCGCCCGAAGGAGGAUUUAGCAGUAAAAAGAAAACAGAGAGUUCUUUUGAAUUAGGCUCUGAAGCACGCACACACCG